rnacentral:rRNA from 1 species
GACGAACGCUGGCGGCGUGCUUAACACAUGCAAGUCGAACGGAAAUGCCCUGCUUUUGUGGGGUGCUCGAGUGGCGAACGGGUGAGUAACACGUGAGUAACCUGCCCUUGACUUUGGGAUAACUUCAGGAAACUGGGGCCAAUACCGGAUAGGAGCUCCUGCUGCAUGGCGGGGGUUGGAAAGUUUCGGCGGUUGGGGAUGGACUCGCGGCUUAUCAGCUUGUUGGUGGGGUAGUGGCUUACCAAGGCUU